GGCACAGAGUCCAGUUAGAUAGCUCUAGGGAUCCAGGCAAGAGACGCUGAUGGAUGGAGUAGAAUUGUAAAAAUGGAGGUGGUGAGAAAUGGGCAGGUUGGCAUACAUAUCAAUGACUUCCUGAUGAAUCCAUGAUAAUUUCAGAGAUUCUGUACAUCUGGAGAGGGCCCAGGAAAGUGUAAUUAUAACAAGUAUCCCAAGUGGUUCUGAUGGCGGCACACAAGGAGUACACUGAGAAAAUACUGUUGUAAGGGACAGAGAACAUAUUUGGCAUUUUUGUUAAUAAAUAAGAAAGAACAAUUCAAAAAAAGAAAUCACUAUCUUAUGUCUGAGAAACUGACAGUUCUUUCAUUUUGUAAAAUAAUCCCAAACUUUAAGUAAAAUUAAUGAAAAUAUUAC
rnacentral:lncRNA from 10 species